rnacentral:tRNA from 2 species
GACUCUGUGGCCCAAUGGAUAAGGCGCUGGUCUACGAAACCAGAGAUUUCGAUCCCCAGCAGAGUCG